GCGUCGGUAUGCAAUGGUUAGCAUACGCUCCCGGAUAGAGUGAGAUCUGGGUUCGAAUACCGGCUGACGCA